rnacentral:misc_RNA from 1 species
AUCUCACUUGUAAAGACCAGAGAGAGAAGCUGAUUGAUAUUGUAUCCUCUGUUUUUGAAGGGAAGCUGCAUAUCCUUGUGAACAAUGCUGCAACAGUUAGACACAGAGACUGUGUAGAUAAUACUGAGGAAGACUACUCAAGCAUAAUGAGUACAAAUCUGGAGUCUCCAUACCAUGUUUGUCAACUUGCAUAUCCACUCUUGAAAGAAUCAAGAAAUGGAAGCAUUGUAUUUCUAUCCUCUGUUGCUGGUUCUGUAGCUUUACCAAUGUUAUCUAUAUAUGCAGCGACCAAAGGUUUCGUUGCCUUAUUUAGAUUGAUUGAAUUUUUGAAAUUUAUCACUUAAUUACCAAGCAGAAGUAUCUCUGACGUUUGCUGUUAACAACCCAUUCUUUUUUUCAGCGGCAAUCAACCAAUUAACAAGAAAUUUGGCCUGUGAAUGGGCUAAGGACAACAUUCGCACAAAUGCUGUUGCCCCUUCUGCUACUAGAACCACGAUUUUAACAGAACCUGUAAUAAUUCUUCCCUUUUGAUGCCCUUUUUUAAUGUUAGAAUCUUGUAACUAUGCUAUAUGUGGACGAAAUUAUAGUUAGAAUCUUGCAGGACCAUGUGGGGAUAGCAUAAUUGCAAUAGAAAUGAAGUUCCUCCAGUAAUUAAUUCUAUGCAAGUUUCCUGCAAAGUUUGUCAUCUUUAGAAACACAUAUCAUAUAGGCUUCUACACUAACGUAUUUCCCAAUUUUUUGGUCUAGGAUCCUGCUAUUCUCAAGGCUUAUGCUGGACUAAUGCCUCGUACUCCAAUUGGCCGCAUUGCAGAGCCCUCUGAGGUCUCAUCACUGGUAGCAUUCCUCUGCCUUCCUGCUGCUUCAUAUAUCAAUGGCCAGGUAAUUUGUGUAGAUGGAGGAUUUACAGUCAAGGGUUGUUAACUGAAGCAUGAUUGUCUUUAAGCCACUGCUUCAGUUAGUUUCUAUGUGGACUAGUUCGAAAAUAUUCUGUUUAAUCUGGUAUUCAUAUGUUUGUAGGAUGUAAUAUAUCUUCUAUGCCAUUUUCUGUUAGUUAUAGUUGUUAUCACAGCCAAGAUUAUGAGUUAACAAUUUUUUUUUUCA